UGUGUAUUGUGAUACAAAAUUUUGGGCGAAAAUAGAGCCGUAUUGUUCGAGCAGAGUAAAGUAGGAAGAGGGUUGAGUGGAGAAAUGAGUUAAUAAUUUCGAAACAGUGAUGUAAACUGAAAGAGAGUAAGCUUGGGAAGUAGAAGUAGAAAUCGAAAUAUAGGUUAAAAAUGGAGAAUUCGAAGACAAACAGUGAUGUUUCAGAAAACUCGAAUAGCAACAGCAGCUCUAACACUGAGAUCGAAAAUUAUAACAUCUCCGUUUCUCCCUACACUGAAGGAGAGAAAGUCUUCGCUUACCACACUACUUGUAUUUAUGAAGCCAAGGUUAGGCAAAUUGAAUACAAGCAUAAACGAUGGCGGUUCUAUCUUCAUUAUCUUGGUUGGAAGAAAAGUUGGGAUGAAUGGGUUGUUUUGGAUCGUUUGAUGAAACACACGGAGGAAAAUAUGCGCAUCAAACUUGCACUUGAUGAGAAAUAUGGUAAUGACAAGAAUGCCAGAAAACCCCGUGCAUCUUCCAAGGCUUCUAACGGAGCGAGAGGCAGGAAACGAAAGAAUGAUUCUGUGAUUAAGGAAAAAUCUGGUGUUCUUCCUGAUAAACUUGUCAACAUUCUGAUUCCACUAACAUUAAAGAAGCAAUUAGUUGAUGAUUUUGAGUUUAUUACUCAUCUAGGCAAGCUUGUUAAACUUCCUCGUACUCCUAAUGUGAACGACAUAUUCAAGAAAUACUUUGAUUACAGAUUGAAGAAAAGUGGCUCGAUAUCUGAUUCGGCUGAAGAAAUUAUGAAAGGAUUGUGUUGUUACUUUGACAAAGCAUUGCCAGUGAUGCUCUUGUACAAUAAUGAGCGUGAGCAGUACCAAGAAGCUUGUCCAAAUAAUACCGUUCCUUCUUCUAUAUACGGCGCUGAGCAUUUGCUACGCCUCUUUGUUGCCAGAGUUAUUGAUCCAUGCUAACAUUGAAGGCGACACAUUGAUAGAACUCCAGACACAAAUACUUGACUUUCUCAGAUUCUUGCGAAAAAGUCAGCGCUCAUUUUUCCUUUCGAGUUAUCAUGUCCCGGAAGAUAUUGAGAACAACAUCAAUAAACAACUGUUUUGUAUUGCACAUAAUAUCACAUAGUUUCUGCUAUUUGCUGAAUGCUUGUAAGAAAUGCAGUUUACUAACAUAUCAAAAUGUUGUGAAAUCAGAUUUGUUAAGUGUUACUUGAAGUCUUUGAAAUCCAACCUUUUCAGGGUAAAGGGAGAGGAACAUCAAUUAAAGGGUGCUACUGACCCACAUUUUAAAUGUCAGCUGUAUCUCUGAAAUUUAUUUUGGAUUUAAUCUGUUAAUUGAAACGGUUGUCAUUUUGCACACGCUUGGAUAAAUUUUAUAUUGAUGAAGUUUGUGUUUGAGUA